UGGUCAAGUUAUUAAGGGUGCAGGGCGGAUGCCUUGGCACUAGGAGCCGAUGAAGGACGUGAUAAGCUGCGAUAAGCUUCGGGGAGUUGCACGUAAACUUUGAUCCGAAGAUUUCCGAAUGAGGAAACUCACUUAGAGUAAUGUCUAAGUAUCAUUAAGUGAAUACAUAGCUUAAUGAGGGGAACUCAGGGAACUGAAACAUCUAAGUACCUGAAGGAAGAGAAAGAAAUUCGAUUCCGUAAGUAGCGGCGAGCGAACGCGGAUUAGCCCAAACCAAUAAAGUUUUCUUUAUUGGGGUUGCGGACAUAUCAUAACGAAGAGGUAUCGUAAUUGAAGAGGUUUGGAAAGACCCACCACAGAAGGUAAUAGUCCUGUAUGUUAAACGAGAAGACUUUAGAUAUGAUCCAGAGUACCACGGGACACGUGAAACCCUGUGGGAAGCAGGAGGGACCACCCUCCAAGGCUAAAUACUACCUAGUGACCGAUAGCGUAUAGUACCGUGAGGGAAAGGUGAAAAGAACCCCGGGAGGGGAGUGAAAUAGAACCUGAAACCCUGCACUUACAAGCUGUGGAAGCACAUUUCUUGUGUGACCGCGUACUUUUUGUAGAACGGGCCAACGAGUUACGUUAAGUAGCAAGGUUAAGCACUUAAGGUGCGGAGCCGUAGCGAAAGCGAGUUUUAACUGAGCGUUCAGUUACUUGACGUAGACCCGAAACCGGGCGACCUACCCAUGAGCAGGAUGAAGCGAAAGUAAAAUUUCGUGGAGGUCCGAACCCACGAGCGUUGAAAAGCUCGGGGAUGACUUGUGGGUAGCGGUGAAAUUCCAAUCGAGCCCGGAGAUAGCUGGUUCUCCCCGAAAUAGCUUUAGGGCUAGCCUCAAGGUGAGAGAUACGGAGGUAGAGCACUG
rnacentral:rRNA from 1 species